CCUGGCUGGGGUCAUUAGNAUUUGUUUUUUGUUUGUUUGUUUUACAAAAACUACCUUAGAGGACGAGAACAGUUAGCAUAAUCUUAAUUGUUUCAAUACAAGAGAUUAUAUUGUCCAAGUAAACAUCCAGAACGAAGGCAACGCUGUGCCUUCUCUUUCUAUACAGGGCAGCGGGCAGCUAUGCAAAAGAAUGUGGCAGCGUCUUAAAAGACAAAUUUAUAAAGGCAUAAGCUUUGGAGAACCGUAACAAACUUGUUACUGUUGAAGAAACUGGUCCAAUACAGAUUCUAGUUUUAAUUGUUUUACGUAUCUUCUACACUCACUCGCAAAAAAAAAAAAAAUGUUCAGCGGUGUCCCAUUUCACGAGAAAACGCCACCUGCGCUCCUUUGUUUUACUGUGGCAUGUGAAUGGGGAUCUGUUCGUCUGCCAACCACCCUAAUCUGAUAGCACUGCCGCUUCAAAGAUACGCCAACCCCUGUUUGUUCUACUCGGAAAAUGCAAGAAUCGGAAAUCUCCAGGGAGUGAUUUCCCCAGAAAGAGGAGGGGAUGAAUCACUAUAUCGCUUCCUACACGAUUCCACCGGAGGGCGCAGAAGGAAGAACAAAGGGUCGCUACCGGUGCAAGCCUAACACGGCGCCCGGUGUGACGGCGGCUGCUCCAGUUCACCAGUCCCUCCAGACGGCAUAUUACGUUCCAGCCACGAGACGAGCCGGCGGGAGGUGGGGAAUCGGUCGCAGCUUGAUUUGUUUGCAAAUUCUCGGAAAUGGCUGAUGCUGCAAAACAGCCAUCCCCGUCUGGCUGUGUGUGCUCCUGCGUCCCUCUCCGUCCUUGCCCUGCCUGGAAGCAGCUGAAACAAACAAACGAAAAGAUCGCCGACUCCUGAUCUUCUCGGUUCCAGGGAAGCGUCUUUUCUGGUCGCCGCGUGAGCCUGAUGUUACACGAGUCCCAGCGCUGCAGAGUCGCGCUCCUUGCCGCCUUCGCCUAAGCUCGCUCGGAUCCCCCUGUCUGGUUUCUCUGCUUCAUAGUCAGUGGACAGUGGCUUCUCUGCCUAGAUCGUUCGCCCAGAGUAGAUGAAGUUUCACCCGAGAGAAAUAGGGUAGGGCGGGAAGAGAAAUGGAUACAAGGAACGAACGGGCAGAGAAAGAAAGAGAGACAGAGAAUGAAAACGGGGGCUCCUGCAGACUGGCUCUCCUCUCGAAUUAGUUUCACGUUACAACUUGAGUUUGUUGCGGAGAUAAUGAAGGACGGGANGGGG
rnacentral:lncRNA from 1 species